GAUGAACGCUGGCGGCGUGCCUAAUACAUGCAAGUCGAGCGAACGGACGAGAAGCUUGCUUCUCUGAUGUUAGCGGCGGACGGGUGAGUAACACGUGGAUAACCUACCUAUAAGACUGGGAUAACUUCGGGAAACCGGAGCUAAUACCGGAUAAUAUUUUGAACCGCAUGGUUAAAAAUUGAAAGACGGUUUUGCUGUCACUUAUAGAUGGAUCCGCGCUGCAUUAGCUAGUUGGUAAGGUAACGGCUUACCAAGGCAACGAUGCAUAGCCGACCUGAGAGGGUGAUCGGCCACACUGGAACUGAGACACGGUCCAGACUCCUACGGGAGGCAGCAGUAGGGAAUCUUCCGCAAUGGGCGAAAGCCUGACGGAGCAACGCCGCGUGAGUGAUGAAGGUCUUCGGAUCGUAAAACUCUGUUAUUAGGGAAGAACAUAUGUGUAAGUAACUGUGCACAUCUUGACGGUACCUAAUCAGAAAGCCACGGCUAACUACGUG
rnacentral:rRNA from 1 species